UCCAAGAAGGGAUGGCAGCGGUGGGGCACCAACAGACGCUCUCACUGCCAUAGCCACCACUGUGACUCCUGGAACCGGAGCACCAGCCUGGCCUCCACGGAUGUAAGAUGCAGCAAGUCAAGGCACUCAAGAUGUCAUUACCUGAGACCAAGACAGGCCCUCAACCGGCAACUGGUAUUGGCAAGAAGACAGGCCAUGUGGAGAUGAAGGGAGGACUAAGCAAUGGGCCAAAGGCCAUGAGUGCCCAGGGGUCCCAGCAGCUGGGAGAGGCAAGGGCUCGGCCCUGGAGCAGUGGGAGAGCAACCCCUUGGGCCUGGACUCUGGGCUACAACUUUGUGGGGGUGCACUGCUGCUGACACUGAAUGACCUGAGUGGCCCUCUGCACUCAUUGGUGUCUUUAAAUGAGGAGGACAGAUUCAGAGACACUCGAGGUGCCACAGUAGCCUGCCAUCACAGACUUGAAGGCCAGAAGUGAGAGCAUGAGACAUGAACUCUGUCAAUGCCCCAAUUGAGCGGAGAUGUGCUGUUCUUGCCAGAACCUCCCAGAAUGCAUGAGACCCUGCCACACAGACACUGUGUCGUGGGGUGGGAAGCACAGGCCUGUGUCACUGAUGGGAUCUCUCCCCCGUGGAGACUGAGACGGUAAACGCAUUGGGAAACCCCUGCCUGUGCUCAUCUGCCAUGAGGCAGUAGGGUCCGAGGGCCAGGGGUGCACUCUGUGUGUGUGUGUACGUGUCCCAGGGCAGGGCUGUCCUCUACAUGACUCUGCACAGACUCAGAAGGAACAGGUAGCUCGGGAAACCCAAGACUAUUGGGGGUCAUGAAAAGGAGGCUCGGACUCUGCUUCCCACAUGUUCUCCAACUGACACACAGAAUAAAUGAGCUCCACUGUUUGCCUACUGGCCCUGGUGUGAGUCGUCCGGAGGGAGAGAAGAAUCACUGCGUUUCCCCGAACACAUUAAAGUGCAAACGGUACUUGAAUAACUUACACGUUACUGGUAAGUGAAACAGCAUUAUUUUUUAUCGUGUUGUCACAUUAUUUUAAAAUAUCCCAUCAGAGACCAAUCACUUUUUCAAAGUAAUUGGACUUAAGAGCAAGUAGCCAUUUUCAUUCAGAGGAAACAACUCCAGCAAGCUUACAGCCUACCUGUGUGAGGGGGACUUCAGGUCGUCUUUGGCUGGCUGUGGGGUAAACGGGAAAGAGGAAGAAUUGUUGGUGCCGAGGCUAUUCUUCGGACAUCAGGUCCAUCAUUAGUCAGUUUCGGGUGAGCGCGUCUCAGAGAC